ACGGGUGCGGAACACGUACGCAAUCUACCCCUAUCUUGGAGAUAGCCCAUAGAAAUGUGGAUUAAUACCCAAUAGUAUAUUUGAAUGGCAUCAUUUGAAUAUUAAAGAAAUUCGGAUAGGGAUGAGCGUGCGUAAGAUUAGCUAGUUGGUGAGGUAACGGCUCACCAAGGCAACGAUCUUUAGCUGAUGUGAGAGCAUGAUCAGCCACACGGGCACUGAGACACGGGCCCGACUCCUACGGGAGGCAGCAGUGAGGAAUAUUGGUCAAUGGACGCAAGUCUGAACCAGCCAUGCCGCGUGAAGGAUGAAGGCGUUCUGCGUUGUAAACUUCUUUUAUCAGGGAAGAAACCUAUUUUUUCUAAGAUAGUUGACGGUACCUGAGGAAUAAGCACCGGCUAACUCCGUGCCAGCAGCCGCGGUAAUACGGAGGGUGCAAGCGUUAUCCGGAUUUACUGGGUUUAAAGGGUGUGUAGGCGGGCUUUUAAGUCUGGGGUGAAAUCCCGAAGCUCAACUUCGGAACUGCCUUGGAUACUAUUAGUCUUGAAUUAUGUUGAGGUUGGCGGAAUAUAACAUGUAGCGGUGAAAUGCAUA
rnacentral:rRNA from 1 species